GCCAUCUGUGUGGUCAGCAUGUUGACAAGACGCAGAUAUUGCUGCCACCACUGCAAGGAUUGGGGGGGGAGUGCCACAGGCCUGCCAGUAAGUGCCUUCUCUUUUACCUUUAAAGGCACCUCUCACUCGCCGCUCCCCCACCCCUUUACAAAACCUUUUUUUACUUCAGAAGCAAAAGCACCGGACUUCCCUUUUACAGCUGCUCGAAAUGGUGAACUGGUCCACGGACCAACUGGGCCUGGUCCAGUCACGGAUAGACCCCUUUCAAAAGGGCCGGUCUGGUCUGCAGUCGAACCGGUUGAACCAGCCUGGUUCGCGGUAGACUGGUUUGAUUGUCAGACCAGUCACAGUUUGAUUGUCAGACUCAGCACACCCCUAAAAGGGAGACAGUGUUACAGCCCAGGGGAGAGCAACCUGAGAGCUGAGAGAGAGAAAAGGGUUCUGUUAGACUGUUUGCUGCUGAAUGUUGUGUGACCCAGAAGGCUAGAACACUAGCAAUAUAAGACACUGCUAGGGAAGUCAACAGGAGCUGGAGUCCAACAUCAUUUGGGGACCCAAGGUUGGGAACCCCUGCAGGAUAGCUUGCUUUAUAACCAGACACCCACAAAUCCACUUGCCAGCUCGCCAGUGGCAAAUGCUCCUGGCCGUCUUGCAAGCAGGACACCCAGCCACACACAGAUCUCCUCCCAUUUAUGAGAAGCUAGGGUCUCCAUUGUGACUGCCGGACAUGGGUGAAAACUGUUUGCAAAAGUGCCAUGGACACCAAUUGCAGUGGUUUUCAAGUCUCUUCCACAGAGGCUUACAAGGAAUUCUGCGGAGCCAGCCAGAUGCUUCCCCAAGCAGAGCAUGAAGGCAAUGGAUCCCAAAAGAAGAAGGUCCUCUUCUCAGAAGAAGGUCCUCUUCUCAGCAGGUGGCAUACAGAAGUCUACUUGCUGACAUCCUGACCAACGGAGCACAACGAAGGCUCUGUGGGGACAUGCCGGGAGCCCUUGUGCAACUCCCCCAGCCAUCCUGUGGGCUCAUUGUAGUAGCCAGAGGGAAAACACUUCUGGUGGUUGCUCAUGCUCCAGAAGAUCAGAAACAUGUCACUGAGGGCCAGCAAUGUGUUUCAGAUCUUGUAGAGCACUUCCACGGUGCAAGUAGUGCUCAGAAGUGUUAGCUCUGUGGUGCAACUGUGUGCGUGCGCAGGAGGACUGGGUGAGGUGUGCAAGGGCUCCUGGAAGUUUUCCCCACCGGGCUUUUAGUUCGCAUCUCCUCUGGAAUGGAGGGGAUACGUUCACAUAUCGGACAGAUCUACCCUGAAGUCCCUGCAAGCUAUCAGGGAUCACUUCACACACAAUUCAGGUUUGGUCCAUUUUAAUCAUUCCCCCCUCUUCUUUCUUUUUAAUUUUAAAAAAUCCUAUACUAUUUUAUCUCAAUUUUUAAUGUAAUAGAAUCUAUAUGUGUAUAUGCAUAUAUGUGUAGAUAUCUACCUUCAAGGUUUAUUUUAUUUUUUCUGGAUUGUAUAUUUGACCAAAGAUCGCAAUAAAACUGAACAAUACAGGUUUUUCACUGCGCAUUAGAGUAUAGCCCGAUUUAUAUUCAGGGUAAAAAAACCCCACUGUUUGCAUCUUUUGGGGGGCAGCUUCGAACUUGAAGUAAACCCGCAUUAAAGCCUGCUGUCUGGGAAAGCUCCUGGUGUGUCCCUGCAGAGCCUCCCUACAGGUGCGCUUUGUUAAUCAGUAUGUUAGCCAUUGUCUCUAAACCUGGAUGUAACCACUGUGGCUAAUGGCUGCUCUCUUUCACAACUUCAUCUAAUUCUGUCUUCCUUUUAAAGCCAUCUAAGCUAGUGGCCAUCACCACAUCCUGUGGCAGCAAAUUUUGUCAUUUGAUUAUCUGUUCUGUAAAGAAGUUCUUUCUUUCUUCUGUCCUGACUAAAAUUGAUUGGCUGACCCUGAAUUUCUUGGGAUAGAAGUUAGGCUAAUGAACCUUAAUAUUUCCUGUUCCCCCCUCACUCCAGCAGAUCCGCCCCCCGCCAACAUUGGUGUUAUGCUGGCUACAACUAGGGAUGUGCAUGAAACAUGAUUCGGAAUCUGAAUCGCACCACAUCCCCUUAAAAUGGGGGAAUUCCACAUCCCCUUUAAGACGGAGGAGAGCAAGUCCAUACCUGCUCCCCUGGCACUCACCAUUUCCUUAAGCGCAGUGCUUCCUCCAGUUAUCAGUGUGCGGUAGCAGCGCUCACCCCCGGCUACCCCUGGGUGCCAGCAUCAUGCAAGGGCAGCUGGGAGAGAGAGAACCACUGGUGCAUGCCAAUAGCUGGAGGAAUGCUGUGCUUAAGGAAAUGGCGGUGAGUGCCAGAGGAGCAGGUAUGGGCUUGCUAUCCUCCGUCUUAAAGGGGUUGUGGAAUCCCCCUGUUUUAAAAGGACAUGGCGAGAUUUGGAUUCUGAAUCGCGUUUUGUGCACAUCCCUACUGGCUACCUUCCGGUCCUUCAGUAAGGAGGCUGAUUGUAGUGACAAAGCUGCACAUUUUUGUUUGAAGUUCAACUACUGUACUUUUGUGCUCUUUAAGAACUCUCAUGUGUAUGCCAGCUGGACUGAGUGACUUGUUAAUUUAUAAUUUGCUAAUUAACUCUAGCACUUUAUAACUUGUCACCUCUCACUUAGUUCUUCGGAACUCACUAGCUGAAGGCCUGUAAAGUUUACUGGGCCAGACUCAGGGAGGAAUGCUGACUUUCAAUCCUUUCCCAAUCCUACAUACCACACCCUCUGCCCAAAUGUAGAAGCUGGCUCAACCCGUUCCUGGCUCCAACUGCUACAGUGGCAUGGGGGCUAAUUCUGUUAUUUCUCCCCAGUAGGUAUAGCCAUUAAGAAUGAACCCUGCUUCCACCUCCACAGUUCCACCCUGGAUUCUAGUCCUUAGUCACAUGCAGUGGAAUGCUAGUGUUCUGUUGUGAUACCCAAUGCUUCAGCUAUGGCUUCUCAGUCUUCCAGUAUUCCUUUUCAUCUCUGCUGGCUUCAUGUAUUCUUAUUUAGUUUAAAGUACACCAGCGCCGACAUCUCAAUUCCCUACUGUAACUAAACCUAAGCAUGUGUAAAUGAAACAACAAUGUAUUCUUCCCCUGUUUAGCCCUGUCUCCAUUUCGCUCCCCUUCCUCUGUUGUCUCCUAAACUGUAUCUAAACUUUAAGCCCCUCAAGGCAGGGACCUGUCCCCUCAUUCUUUGAAAACUGCCAUGUUCAUGGAUAGUGCUAUAUAAACAAACAAACUUUAAUAAAAGUGCACAAA